AAACUCUGGUACUGGGCAAAGGCAGACAUCUUGCUGGUGGUGUUCUUGUAUCAGUCAGGGCCAGAGCAGAUAGCAGUCCUUUACUCAUUCUAGCUUAAUGCCUGGCUUGGUGGCCAAAGCUGAUUUAUGCCUGGAGUACAUAA